rnacentral:rRNA from 1 species
GAUGAACGCUGGCGGCGUGCUUAACACAUGCAAGUCGAACGGAAAGGCCCUGCGUUUGUGGGGUUCUCGAUUGGCGAACGGGUGAGUAACACGUGUGUAACCUGCCCUUGUCUUUGGGAUAACUUCAGGAAACUGGGGCUAAUAUCGGAUAGGAGCUCCUGCUGCAUGGUGGGCGUUGGAAAGUUUCGGCGGUUGGGGAUGGACUCGCGGCUUAUGAGCUUGUUGGUGGGGUAGUUGCUUACCAAGGCUGUGACGGGUAGGCGGCCUGGGAGGGUGGACGGCCACCUGAGGACUGAGAUACGGACCAGACUCGUACAGGAGGCAAUGGUGGGAAGUAUUACACAAUGAGAGCGCGUGUGAUGAGGAGGCGCCGCGUGCGGGAUGACCGCCUUCGGGUUGUAAACCGCUUUCGCCUGAGACGACGCGUUAGUGACGGUAAUGGGUAAAGAAGCACCGGCUAACUACGUG